rnacentral:rRNA from 1 species
GAUGAACGCUGGCGGCGUGCCUAAUACAUGCAAGUCGAGCGAACAGACGAGGUGCUUGCUCCUCUGACGUUAUCGGCGGACGGGUGAUUAACACGUGUAUAACCUACCUCUAAGACUGGGAUAACUUCGCGAAACCGUAUCUAAUACCGGAUAAUAUAUUGAACCUCAUGGUUCAAUAGUGUUAGUCGGUUUUUCUGUCUCUUAUAGAUUGAUCCGCGCCGCAUUAGCUAGUUGGUAAGGUAACGGCUUACCAAGGCAACGAUGCGUAGCGGACAUGAGAGGGUGAUAGGGCACACGGGAAGUGAGACAGGGAACAGACUACUACGGGAGGAAGCAGAAGGGAAUGUUAGGCAAUGGGGGAAAGGAUGACGGAGCAAGGCGGCGUGAGUGAAGAAGGACUAAGGAUCGGAAAACUAUGUUAGUAGGAAAGAAAAAAAGUGAAAGAAACUAUGAAGGUAAUGACGGUAACUAAAGAGAAAGCAACGGCUAACUACGUG